UGCAAGCGUUAAUCGGAAUUACUGGGCGUAAAGCGCACGCAGGCGGUCUGUCAAGUCGGAUGUGAAAUCCCCGGGCUCAACCUGGGAACUGCAUUCGAAACUGGCAGGCUAGAGUCUUGUAGAGGGGGGUAGAAUUCCAGGUGUAGCGGUGAAAUGCGUAGAGAUCUGGAGGAAUACCGGUGGCGAAGGCGGCCCCCUGGACAAAGACUGACGCUCAGGUGCGAAAGCGUGGGGAGCAAACAGGAUUAGAUACCCUGGUAGUCCACGCCGUAAACGAUGUCGAUUUGGAGGUUGUGCCCUUGAGGCGUGGCUUCCGGAGCUAACGCGUUAAAUCGACCGCCUGGGGAGUACGGCCGCAAGGUUAAAACUCAAAUGAAUUGACGGGGGCCCGCACAAGCGGUGGAGCAUGUGGUUUAAUUCGAUGCAACGCGAAGAACCUUACCUGGUCUUGACAUCCACAGAACUUUCCAGAGAUGGAUUGGUGCCUUCGGGAACUGUGAGACAGGUGCUGCAUGGCUGUCGUCAGCUCGUGUUGUGAAAUGUUGGGUUAAGUCCCGCAACGAGCGCAACCC
rnacentral:rRNA from 1 species